GUCUAUAGCUAUACCACCCUGAACAUGCCUGAUCUUGUCUGAUCUUGGAAGCUAAGCAGUGUCGGGCUGUUAAUAGUUGGAUGGGAGAAAAUGAAGUAAACUGAGUGUUGGGAUA
ensembl:rRNA 5S_rRNA 5S ribosomal RNA